rnacentral:rRNA from 1 species
UUUAACUGAGCGUUCAGUUACUUGACGUAGACCCGAAACCGGGCGACCUACCCAUGAGCAGGAUGAAGCGAAAGUAAAAUUUCGUGGAGGUCCGAACCCACGAGCGUUGAAAAGCUCGGGGAUGACUUGUGGGUAGCGGUGAAAUUCCAAUCGAGCCCGGAGAUAGCUGGUUCUCCCCGAAAUAGCUUUAGGGCUAGCCUCAAGGUGAGAGAUACGGAGGUAGAGCACUGAAUGUCCUAGGGGGUAUUGCACCUACCGAAGACUAUCAAACUCCGAAUGCCGUCAUCUUAUACUUGGGAGUCAGACUGUGGGUGAUAAGAUUCAUAGUCGAAAGGGCAACAGCCCAGAUCGUCAGCUAAGGUCCCUAAAUGUAAGUUAAGUGGUAAAGGAUGUGGGAUUGCACAGACAACCAGGAUGUUGGCUUAGAAGCAGCCACUCAUUCAAAGAGUGCGUAAUAGCUCACUGGUCGAGUGAUCCUGCGCCGAAGAUUUCCGGGGCUAAAACUUACUACCGAAGCUACGGCAUCAGUAAUGAUGGGUAGGGGAGCUUCCCAUACGGGUUGAAGCAUGACCGUAAGGACAUGUGGACAGUAUGGGAGUGAGAAUGUUGGCAUGAGUAGCGAGAUGUGGGUGAGAAUCCCACAGGCCGUAAACCCAAGGUUUCCAGGGGAAGGUUCGUCCGCCCUGGGUUAGUCGGGACCUAAGCUGAGGCCGAAAGGCGUAGGUGAUGGACAACAGGUUGAUAUUCCUGUACUACCGAUAACCGUUUGAGAGAAGGGAUGAC